UGAAACUGGCGAUAAAAAUGCUUUAAAUAUCCAUAUAAUUGUUUCAACUUUCCAAUAGGAAACCUAUUACAAAAUUGCUUCAAAAACAACUUAAAAAUGGUACUGUCUUUAAAAAUCCUUCUUCCUGUAUCUGUAGCCGUAUUUGUUCUGUUAAUAAUACAGGGUAGAUCAAGUAUUGUAUGUCCGCCGGAUUACUGCAAGAAUGUAACGUGUAGAGUCAAUGAAACUUCAUGUAAAGAAGGAUACCAUUUGCUACCGACUUUUUGUGGUUGUUGCUAUCACUGUGUGGAAGACAUACCUGAAAACCGAUCAUGCUUUGACUGGGGAUUUCUAACGUUUCCAACGAAUACACAAUGUGCUAAAGGUUUAGUGUGUUGCAACGCCACAAUUUGUUUAAAACCACAAAAUUGUAAAAAAUGAAUUAAAAAUAUAUAUAUUAUAUAAUAUACAUGAUAGAAUAAAAUACAAAAGACAUAUUACCUAUAUGAAUUGAAAAUGAAUAAUUAUGCAUCCCCUCGAUUUGACUGAAAUCAGAUAAUUGUUGAAAAUUUUACAAAAAUUACACUGGUCGACAAGGUUUUUUCUAACAUGAACCAGAACAGCGUUUUUAUGUAUAUUUUUGUUGUCUAAUUACAUAAAUAUUUGCUAAAUGGACCCACCACAUUUUUAUUUAGCUACUUGUAUACGGGCAGUACGACCCUUAUCGGUAUUCUUAAAAAGACCUUUUUUUAAAGAAGAUUUUCUCAAACUAACCAUCCCAGAGCAAUAAAUUUAAUAAGUUGAAUAAACGAGACCGUACAUAACUACAAAAUCGUUAGUUUAUAUUAGUCUGUCAUUUGUACAGAACGACAAGACAAGACAAGACAAGACAAGACAAGAGACAAGAGACAAGAGACAAGA